UGGAGCAUGUGAUAAUGCAACUAGCUCAUGAAGUAGUUGAAAAGCAUGCAGCCAUAGAAGGUGAAUUAGUUGUACAACCAUCAGAUGAUCACUUUUGAUUUCAUCGCCCCCACUUUUUCCUCUUCUUGAUCCACUUUAUCCUUUUCCAAGAUGCUUUUGAGAUAGCAUUUUUCUUUUGGAUAUGGGUUACAUAUGGAUUUGACUCUUGUAUAAUGGGACAAGUUCGCUGCAUAGUUCCAAGGCUAAUUAUCGGGUAACUUAGACAUCUUAGCUGAUGCAUUAUGAGUACUACUACUAUGUAGCUACAGUACCCUACCACUGUAUGCCAUUGUUACACAGGUGAGUUUGCAUAGCUAUUAAAAGUGCAAGCUGAAUUGUUCAAAUUUGAUUUUGGUUUGGCUUUUCAUAAAUUUUGUUAUUUUCACAUUGUAGAUGGGAACCCAUUUUAAGGCAGCAAUAUUUCGUGAGCAUGUGCAAGUGAGGCUUGCUAGUUGGGCACAAGAGGCCAAAAAGAAGAAGAAAGGGGUAAAAGCUGAUAGCCAGUCUGGUGAAGGAAGUUCUCAUGCUGUUGCAAGAAUUUAGCUUGGGUCAGUUUUCCAGAAGAGAGCAUCCACUGCAGAAGACGGUGCUUCUGUACCCAAAGUCGAGGGUUUAGCUGAGUAGCCUAAAUGGGGGAGUUGUGCUCAAAUCAUCUUAUUUUGUAUAGUUACAGAACA